rnacentral:rRNA from 1 species
UGGGGAAUAUUGGACAAUGGGCGCAAGCCUGAUCCAGCCAUGCCGCGUGAGUGAUGACGGCCUUAGGGUUGUAAAGCUCUUUCGCUCGCGACGAUAAUGACGGUAGCGAGAGAAGAAGCCCCGGCUAACUUCGUGCCAGCAGCCGCGGUAAUACGAAGGGGGCUAGCGUUGUUCGGAAUCACUGGGCGUAAAGCGCACGUAGGCGGAUUGUUAAGUCGGGGGUGAAAUCCUGAGGCUCAACCUCAGAACUGCCUUCGAUACUGGCGAUCUUGAGUCCGGAAGAGGUUGGUGGAACAGCGAGUGUAGAGGUGAAAUUCGUAGAUAUUCGCUAGAACACCAGUGGCGAAGGCGGCCAACUGGUCCGGUACUGACGCUGAGGUGCGAAAGCGUGGGGAGCAAACA